AGAGUUUGAUCCUGGCUCAGAAUCAACGCCGGCGGCGUGCCUAACACAUGCAAGUCGAACGAGAAAGGGGAGCAAUCCCUGAGUAAAGUGGCGACCGGGUGAGUAACACGUGACUACCUGCCCUUGAGUGGGGGAUAACCUCGGGAAACCGAGGCUAAUACCGCAUAAUAUCGCAAGAUCAAAGGAGCAAUCCGCUUUUGGAGGGGGUCGCGGCUGAUUAGCUAGUUGGUAAGGUAACGGCUUACCAAGGCGACGAUCGGUAUCCGGCCUGAGAGGGCGCACGGACACACUGGAACUGAAACACGGUCCAGACUCCUACGGGAGGCAGCAGUGGGGAAUUUUGCGCAAUGGGGGAAACCCUGACGCAGCAACGCCGCGUGGAGGAUGAAGCCCCUUGGGGCGUAAACUCCUUUCGACUGGGAAGAUUAUGACGGUACCAGUGGAAGAAGCACCGGCUAACUCUGUGCCAGCAGCCGCGGUAAUACAGAGGGUGCGAGCGUUGUUCGGAAUUAUUGGGCGUAAAGGGCGCGUAGGCGGUACGGUAAGUCACCUGUGAAAUCCCCGGGCUCAACUCGGGGCCUGCAGGCGAAACUGCCGUGCUGGAGGGUGGGAGAGGUGCGUGGAAUUCCCGGUGUAGCGGUGAAAUGCGUAGAUAUCGGGAGGAACACCUGUGGCGAAAGCGGCGCACUGGACCACUACUGACGCUGAUGCGCGAAAGCUAGGGGAGCAAACAGGAUUAGAUACCCUGGUAGUCCUAGCCCUAAACGAUGAUUGCUUGGUGUGAUCGGUACCCAAUCCGAUCGUGCCGCAGCUAACGCGAUAAGCAAUCCGCCUGGGAGUACGGUCGCAGGCUGAAACUCAAAGGAAUUGACGGGGCCCGCACAGCGGUGGAGCAUGUGGUUCAAUUCAACGCAACGCAAGAACCUUCCUGGC
rnacentral:rRNA from 1 species